AGCUGUCCUACAAUCCCUACUUUUGUACAGCUUUCGUGACAUUUGAAUUUUGAAACAGGUUCAACAUCGAUUUGAGGAUUUGGCUCCAUCUUCACUCUUUCUCAUGUAUAUUGAACGGCUCCAUCUUUUCUCUCUUUCUCAUAACACCACCGAUUUGAAGAUUAAAUCUGGGAGAUAUGACUGUCGAAUAAGUUCGUUCUUCCGAUUCAACAACCAUCAGUUUAUAGGGAAUCAAGUCUGCAAAGAUCGGUGGCUACGGAGAAGAGUUCCCGGCUGUAGAUGGUGAUUGAGGUAGGUUCCGACAGACAAACUGAGAUCUAGGGUUUUACUUUAAUUUUUGGAUUUUAUUUAACUACAAUUCGUGAACCAAAUGGGAUAAAUGCGGUUGCAAAGUACACCAGCAGUUAGCUACUCUGAGGAUGAUUGUCAACCCCAGGUUUGAGGUUUACACAGAAGAACAUGAAAAUCUGUUGGGUGAGGCUGCUGGGAAAUAGGUUUGGGUCAGGACUGAUGCCCUUGAUGUUGCUUGAAACACCACUGCUGCUAUUGAAAGAUCCUGGCCCCAAAACCCUAACCACUGCAUGCUUGCUCGAGAGAAGACUGCGAUUUUGUUCAGAUGGACGUGAUAGGAAAGCAACUAGAUGUGUUAAUGGAAGUCAAUCAGAAUGGUGAUGUCACAAAGUUAAUCGGAAGUACUACGAUCAUGACGUCGACUAUUUCUUCUUAGUCGGCCUCGGUUAGCAUGAACUCUUUCAACUCGCAGUAAGUAUAACAAAACUAACUUUUUUAUAUAUAGUAUAAAUAUUGCAAAAUAUGUUACACGAAUGAUAAGACCUUGAGUUCGUUUGAUUAUAACUUGGAUAUGAAUAUGUUUUGUUCUUUAUUGAGUAAUUCAUUAGAAUGCGAAAUUACGAUGAUGGUUUUUAGCGAGCGCAACCGCAACAAGUUUUAAACUAAUGGACUGUAACGGUAAUUUUCAACAAACCACAGGGACGUACAACAUAAUUAUUUUUUACAGACAAAAUGGCCAUUUAUUUCUGAUAGAACUGUUCUUGAAUUCUGUCCAACAGAUCUUAAAGGCAGAUGAUGUAGAUUUGGCCGUAAUUGUUAGAGGAACACCUGGAUUUUCUGGUGCUGAUCUGGCAAACUUGGUUAACGUUGCUGCUCUCAAGGCUGCAAUGGAUGGUGCUAAAGCUAUAAGCAUGGCUAACCUUGAAUAUGCAAAAGACAAAAUCAUGAUGGGCAGUGAAUGCAAAUCAGCAAUUAUAUCAGAUGACGUCCGUAAGCUAACAGCAUACCAUGAAGGUGGCCAUGCUCUUGUAGCUAUUUACAUUGAUGGUGCCCACCCUGUGCACAAAGCUACAAUUGUGCCACGUGUUGGGAGAAGGCGGGUUCAGGUCGGUUUUCAAGGGCUAGAUAGAUGAACAGUCUUUCACUGCUACUAAGCCCGGAACCGGCAUUGUUAUUGCUGUAAAAAAGCUUCGUCAAGAAAGUUUUCAAGGUCACAGAGGAGAAUGGCUGAUUGAUCCAGGGGUAGUUUCAUCAGUAAGAGUUGGGACCGUUAUUGAUCAGCUGAGUUAUCUACAUGGGCGUCAACAAAUCUGUAAAACAUUCGAAGCCUGGGUAGAUGGAACUGUGUUAUCCACUCGUUAUGCUGUAGGGGUAAUAUUGUCAUUUUGUUGAGUUGCUGGUACUUUGUGUACUUAUGGUACUAUGCAGGCCCGCGUCCUAUUAUUCAAAAUGCUCGGGACUGGGUUAAUGGUUUGGCUGAUUUAGUUGCUGCGUUUAUGGUUCGGAAGGCCCAAAAAGCUUGUUGCUAGCUAUGUCAAAACUGGGUUGGAUUUAUCCCGUUCAGGCCUACCACAACUGGGUUACUGGCGCUGAUCUACUGGCCUGGUUGGUUCUCUAUAUGGUCAGAUUUGGCGAUGGCCCUUUGGUGGGUUUCUCGUGUGAAGGCCAGGCCCCAUUGCCUGAAAAUGGGCCUGGUUUAUGGUUCGCUGAAGGCCCUGUUAUGGUCCUUGAAUUAUGGCACUAAUUGGUUAAAAGCUAGGAACAAGUCAUCUGAGUUGGGCAUUGGCAAGUCUCCAAAGGCUGAAGGUCCUUAUUUGUGUGCUCAAGUCUCCAGCCCGGGUUGUAAAAUGCGGUUUGAGCCUAUGUUAUUGGGGUGGGGAUAUGGCCGAUGGGGCCGUUUAUUUGGGCUCCUGGUCUCUAAGAGUCAUGGGUGUCACAAAAUGUAAUCCGAUUAUGAGAAAUGUUGGGAAUGUUUGUGGGUUGGGAGUCGCCUUAUAUUAUUGGGCGUGUUUAUACUACGUGUAAUUUGUAUAGACUAGGGUGCAUUUCGUGUCAUAGUAUGAGAAGUAUUAGGUUCUUGCAUAGUCCGAGGAAAGGUUGUAUGAUUUCGUAUUUUUUGUCCCCAAAGCAUGUUUUGGGGAUGAUACGGGGGAAUGCCCCCUUGAUAGUGUAAUUUUUCCUUUUGAGUUAUAUUCUUUGUCGGGCAAUGCCCUUUAUCUAA